rnacentral:rRNA from 1 species
CGCGUAGGCGGCCUUCUAAGUCGGACGUGAAAUCCCUCAGCUUAACUGGGGAACUGCGUCCGAUACUGGAUGGCUUGGAUUUGGGAGAGGGAUGCGGAAUUCCAGGUGUAGCGGUGAAAUGCGUAGAUAUCUGGAGGAACACCGGUGGCGAAGGCGGCAUCCUGGACCAAUAUUGACGCUGAGGAGCGAAAGCUAGGGGAGCAAACG